rnacentral:rRNA from 1 species
AUGGCGGGUGCUAUACUGCAGUCGAGCGAAUGGAUUAAGAGCUUGCUCUUAUGAAGUUAGCGGCGGACGGGUGAGUAACACGUGGGUAACCUGCCCAUAAGACUGGGAUAACUCCGGGAAACCGGGGCUAAUACCGGAUAACAUUUUGCACCGCAUGGUGCGAAAUUGAAAGGCGGCUUCGGCUGUCACUUAUGGAUGGACCCGCGUCGCAUUAGCUAGUUGGUGAGGUAACGGCUCACCAAGGCAACGAUGCGUAGCCGACCUGAGAGGGUGAUCGGCCACACUGGGACUGAGACACGGCCCACACUCCUACGGGAGGCAGCAGUAGGGAAUCUUCCGCAAUGGACGAAAGUCUGACGGAGCAACGCCGCGUGAGUGAUGAAGGCUUUCGGGUCGUAAAACUCUGUUGUUAGGGAAGAACAAGUGCUAGUUGAAUAAGCUGGCACCUUGACGGUACCUAACCAGAAAGCCACGGCUAACUACGUGCCAGCAGCCGCGGUAAUACGUAGGUGGCAAGCGUUAUCCGGAAUUAUUGGGCGUAAAGCGCGCGCAGGUGGUUUCUUAAGUCUGAUGUGAAAGCCCACGGCUCACCGUGGAGGGUCAUUGGUAACUGGAGACUUGAGUGCAGACGAGGAUAGUGAUUCCAUGUGUAGCGGAAAUAUGCGCAUUAAAAGGA